rnacentral:tRNA from 1 species
GGUAGCGUGGCCGAGUUGGUCUAAGGCGCUGGAUUUAAGUCCCAGUGAAGGUGACUUCGCGCGAGUUCGAAUCUCGCCGCUACCA